AAGGGAAUGUAGAUACUAAGAAAAGCUGCUAACUAUUUCUUAUAGCGGUUUAAUUCCGUUUUUCCCUUA
rnacentral:tRNA from 1 species